UCCCAGAUAGCUUAGUGGUAAAGAAUCUGCCUGCCAAUGCAGGAGAUACAGGUUCGAUCUCUGGGUUGGGAA
rnacentral:tRNA from 1 species